UGGGGAAUAUUGGACAAUGGGGGGAACCCUGAUCCAGCCAUGCCGCGUGUGUGAAGAAGGCCUUAUGGUUGUAAAGCACUUUAAGCGAGGAGGAGGGUACUGGUAUUAAUACUACCAGGUACUGGACGUUACUCGCAGAAUAAGCACCGGCUAACUCUGUGCCAGCAGCCGCGGUAAUACAGAGGGUGCGAGCGUUAAUCGGAUUUACUGGGCGUAAAGCGUGUGUAGGCGGCUAAUUGAGUCGGAUGUGAAAUCCCCGAGCUUAACUUGGGAAUUGCAUUCGAUACUGGUUAGCUAGAGUGUGGGAGAGGAUGGUAGAAUUCCAGGUGUAGCGGUGAAAUGCGUAGAGAUCUGGAGGAAUACCGAUGGCGAAGGCAGCCAUCUGGCCUAACACUGACGCUGAGGUACGAAAGCAUGGGGAGCAAACAGG
rnacentral:rRNA from 1 species